rnacentral:misc_RNA from 1 species
CAGAGGAAGCAAAAGGAUCUGAAACUGAGAAAAGCGAAGAAAUGUUUGUAUCCCAAGUUGUUGGUAUUGUGUCUAAAACUGCAUUGGAUAGUGAUGGUCUGCCUACAACUUUGUCAGUGACGGAGGAUGAUAAGAUUGAAGGUGUUUCUGAGAAGAGCACUCAUAGCAUGUUGGGAGCAGUGGGUGAAUCUAGGUCUGAAAUAGAAGACAAUCAUCGGUUGGCUGAAUCUCAGGUUGAUAUGAUAGGGCCCGAAUCUUCUCAGGUUGAUGGGAUAGAGCCAGAAGAUUCCCAGGUUGGUGGUAUUGUGCCUGAUGAUAAAUCCGGAAACGUCAUCAUACCUACAUUGUCUAUAUCAAUGAUGCAUGAAGAGGAUAUUGAGGAUACUCCAUGCAAGGUUCCAGAGGGAUCAAAAAUGUCUGAAUCUGAAAUAGAUGGACAAACAAAGCAUGGUGGGAUGGCUGAAAAGUUAGACCUGCCUUAUUCUCUAGUGACAGAGGGGGCAGGAGUACCCUUCUCAUCUGAGAAGGGUACAGUCGACAGCUUAAUAGCAUCCAUGGAUUCAAAAGGAUCUGAAAUUGAAGUGGGUGAUCAAGUAUCUCAUUCUGAGGAUGGUGGAAGUGUGCCAGAGAAAGUAUCUGCGGAUAUGGGCUUGCCUUCAUCUUCAUUAGUGAUACUGGAUGAUAAGACUGAGGAACCAUCUGGAAAAGAUACAGUUGGCACCUCAGUAGCUCGGGAGAAAUCACAAGAAUCUCUAGCUGA